GACGAACCGUGCGAACGUUAUUCGGAAUAACUGGGCUUAAAGGGCGCGUAGGCGGGCUAUCAAGUCUGGGGUGAAAUCCCGCGGCUCAACCGUGGAACUGCCUCAGAUACUGACGGCCUCGAGGGAGAUAGGGGCAUGCGGAACUGUAGGUGGAGCGGUGAAAUGCGUAGAUAUCGAGAGGAACACCAGUGGCGAAGGCGAGUCCCUGGACGACUCCUGACACUGAGGCACGAAAGCUAGGGGAGCAAACAGG
rnacentral:rRNA from 1 species